rnacentral:lncRNA from 1 species
AUGAAUCCACUGCGAUGCUGUCCAUCCCAAGGCUUGCCCUUCAAACACUCUGCCACCUGAGGCAGAGGGUCAGAGAGCCUUUGGGACUGCCUCAUCUGGCAAUACCCUUAGCUACACUGUCAGAAUAAGCAUGUGUACCCCUUUUCUUCUUUCUCAAUUAAGCUCAUACUGUCCCCAUCUCUUCGUCUUUAUAAAUGGAUCUCGAUGCCCCCUGUGACAAUGGGGUGCCCUUUGGCCAGACUUGGAUCUCGCUGGAGCCAUGUCCACAGCCACAGCACUCACAGAUAGACACUCUCAAGCCAGGCAGCCGAGGGAACUCCCUGAGAGCUUGCUGGGUGAUUCCAAUCAACCCUGCUUCAUUCACCAGACCUGGGUUCGCUCAGGCCUCCAUACCCUGGCCCCGUCCGGAAACGGGAGGCUCCUCUCAAAAGGCAAGAAGGAAACUCCCCUGAGCCUUUGGAAGGGAGAAGCACAGGGAUUCGCCCAGCUCUGGGUCCACCACAAAGCCACCAAAGCCCCCCAUUCCUUCCACAGCAGCAGCAGCAGCAGCAGCAGCAGCAGCAGCAGCAGCAGCAGCAGCAGCAGCAGCCGCCUGAUUCUCCACCCACAUCCACCACCGACGGUCAGGGCCUUGCAAAUGGCCAGCUCCCGAGACCACACAGAUGCUGGGCGGGUCUCCGCUCCUGCGUCUGGAGGAACACAAGGCGUUCCGACACCCAGUGACUCCUUCCAGCAGCCUUCGAAGCACACUCCCAAGCCACCAGGCUGCCGAUCCACCUCCCAAUGCUACAGGGACGCCUGUGUCCUCUGCCUGACAGGAGGCGUCUUGGACCAGACAGUCCCCGGUGCCCAGGAACCAACGCAAAGGCCUCUGGGCGCUUGCUGUGGCUUCCUAUCCACACACUCUCCAUCCCACCACUCAGCCUGCACCUGCAGCCUUGCCGCUGCACCUGGGUCCAGAAGGUGCUCUGGCGCCGUCUUGUGGACACCUGCUCUAACAGCAACUCUCAGGUUUUCCUCCUCUCUCUGCCUCAGCCGCCCCCCAGGGCGGCACUGGCUGGGGGCAAUAUGCUCCUGGAAUGGCCUUCCCCCGCAGCUGCC